rnacentral:rRNA from 1 species
GGGGAAUUUUGCGCAAUGGGCGAAAGCCUGACGCAGCAAUACCGCGUGAGUGAUGAAGGCUCUUGGGUCGUAAAGCUCUGUCAGAGGGGAAGAACCACCUGUCGUUUAAUACGCGGCAGGCCUGACGGUACCC